rnacentral:rRNA from 1 species
UGCCAGCCGCCGCGGUAAUACGGAAGGUCCAAGCGUUAAUCGGAAUUACUGGGCGUAAAGCGCGCGUAGGCGGUUUAUUAAGUUGGAUGUGAAAUCCCCGGGCUCAACCUGGGAACUGCAUCCAAAACUACAUUUCUUGAGUUUGGUAGAGGAGAGUGGAAUUCCUAGUGUAGAGGUGAAAUUCGUAGAUAUUAGGAGGAACACCAGUGGCGAAGGCGACUCCCUGGGCCAAUACUGACGCUGAGGUUCGAAAGCGUGGGUAGCGAACAGGAUUAGAUA